UGUAUCUGAAGCCUGACGAGGAUGAGAACCUCCGGGGGCAAGAGGUUCGACYCGAGCGMAGCGAGAGAACGUUGCGUCAGCAACGGCCCGCAGGGCGAGCCACGCAGUGGCGAGUCAUCCUCUAUCACCAGCA
rnacentral:sRNA from 1 species